rnacentral:rRNA from 1 species
GAGUGGCGAACGGGUGAGUAAUGCAUCGGAACGUGCCCAGUAGUGGGGGAUAGCCCGGCGAAAGCCGGAUUAAUACCGCAUACGACUAUGGGUGAAAGCGGGGGAUCGUAAGACCUCGCGCUAUUGGAGCGGCCGAUGUCAGAUUAGGUAGUUGGUGGGGUAAAGGCCUACCAAGCCGACGAUCUGUAGCUGGUCUGAGAGGACGACCAGCCACACUGGGACUGAGACACGGCCCAGACUCCUACGGGAGGCAGCAGUGGGGAAUUUUGGACAAUGGGGGAAACCCUGAUCCAGCCAUGCCGCGUGCGGGAAGAAGGCCUUCGGGUUGUAAACCGCUUUUGUCAGGGAAGAAAUCCUUUGGGCUAAUACCCUAGAGGGAUGACGGUACCUGAAGAAUAAGCACCGGCUAACUACGUGCCAGCAGCCGCGGUAAUACGUAGGGUGCAAGCGUUAAUCGGAAUUACUGGGCGUAAAGCGUGCGCAGGCGGUUGUGCAAGACAGAUGUGAAAUCCCCGGGCUUAACCUGGGAACUGCAUUUGUGACUGCACAGCUGGAGUGCGGCAGAGGGGGAUGGAAUUCCGCGUGUAGCAGUGAAAUGCGUAGAUAUGCGGAGGAACACCGAUGGCGAAGGCAAUCCCCUGGGCCUGCAC